GGGCCUAUAGCUCAGUUGGUUAGAGCGCACGCCUGAUAAGCGUGAGGUCGAUGGUUCAAAUCCAUCUAGGCCCACCA
rnacentral:tRNA from 1 species